AACGAACGCUGGCGGUAUGCUUAAUCCAUGCAAGUCGAACGGACUUGUUUAGAGCUUGCUUUAGACAAGUUAGUGGCAAACGGGUGAGUAACACGUGGGAAUCUACCUAUCAGUACGGAAUAACGUUUGGAAACGAACGCUAAUACCGUAUAUUCUCUACGGAGGAAAGAUUUAUCGCUGAUAGAUGAGCCCGCGCAAGAUUAGGUAGUUGGUAGGGUAAUGGCCUACCAAGCCGACGAUCUUUAGCUGGUCUGAGAGGAUGAUCAGCCACACUGGGACUGAGACACGGCCCAGACUCCUACGGGGGGCAGCAGGAAGGAAUAUUGGACAAUGGGCGAAAGCCUGAUCCAGCAAUACCGCGUGAAUGAUGAAGGCCUUAGGGUUGUAAAGUUCUUUUAAUAGGGAAGAUAAUGACGGUACCUAUAGAAAAAGCCCCGGCUAACUCCG
rnacentral:rRNA from 1 species